ACGCUGUGAAGCGAACCACACAUAGGCUUGAAGAAGCCACUGAAGAAAAAGCAUAUUCAGACUUCAGAGCCUUUUUCUUCUUCAAAUUCUUCUUUCUGAGUUCUCUUUUGUGUCUUCUAGAAAUCGGAUCAGUUUCUACAAAAAAAUCUGUAAACGAUGGUCGGUCCUUCUCCCACCAACAUCAAAUUCCUCUGUAGCUAUGGCGGAAAGAUUCUCCCUCGCCAUCCUGACGGCAAGCUCCGUUACUAUGGCGGCGAGACCCGUGUACUUUCCGUCGAGCGCUCCAUUUCUUUUGCCGAGCUGUUGGCGAAGCUCGGAAAGAUGUUUGGAGCUGGGGUUAGUCUGAGGUGUCAACUGCCAACUGAAGAUUUAGAUGCACUGGUGUCAAUCACCUGUGAUGAGGAUCUAAUCAAUCUUAUUGAGGAAUAUGAUCGAUUAGAGUCUCCACCAUGCUCUUUCAAGAUAAGGGCCUUUCUUUCACCACCCAAAUCCAACAAAAGAGCCUCUCCUUCGCCUUCAUUUGGUUCUUUGUCUACCACCAAUGAUGCUUUAUCACCAAAGUCCUACUCUGCUUCGAGGUACUUUGGAUCAUCUAGUACUAAGAGGUGUGCCUGUCAGAUGUCAAUGCCCCCUAUGGUGUUUCCCCCUUGCCAUAAGAAAGCUGCUGCAAAGCUUCCUCAGUAUGCCUACCACCAUGGUCCUGGAAACACUGGCCAUAUUUAUUUGAUCCACCAUGGCAACCACUGGCAAUAAUGGAAGCUUGUGGAGAAAGGAGGCAAAAUGAUAUUGAAGUAUAUAUACUACAGAGUACUAAAUUAAAUCAUACGAAUCAAAGAAAUUUGGAGCACAAAAUCCAAAAAAAAAAAGAAAAAGAAAGCUCAAAAGAAGGAUGAAAUGAUGAUAAUGAUAUAUAUGAUGUAAGAAGUGCAUGUAAAUCUUUAAGAAGGGAUUGGUUUUUUUUUUGUUAAUCCAUCCUCCAGCAAUUAAUGGAAAUAUCAAAUAUGAGUCCAACUUGAUUUUGGGAUCUCCCAAGUGUAAUGCCACUUGAAAGUUUUGACGUUCACUUUGGUACGUACAACAAUGAAAAUCAGUAUUAUGUCAAGCUCUUCACGAUACAGGAGGAUGCUAAAGUGAUAGUGGUGUUCAUUUGAUGCCCUGGUUCUAUCAACUACAACUACAACUACAACUACAGGAGGGAAGAAGAGCUGUAAUGUAAUGCCAGAGAGCUAAUUGGAAUUAUUGGACGUGGCCGUUACAGGAAUAUGAAAAAUGGAGCUUUUCCCCCCCUUAUAUAUUACCCUUUAUUUGAGCUUAUGGGACCAUGACAGCUAGUGCUUGAAGGGACAAAUUAUUUCAAUUGCAAAUUUAGUCAAAAUAUAAUUUAAAAAACAAUUAUAAAAGGAGAGAAAAUACCUGGAAAUUGGAAAAGAAAAGAGGUUCCCUGUUGGUUAGGAUGUGGAUGAAAAGGGGCCCAUAGCUUAAUAUAGGGUGACUAUUGACUCGGAUUUUGCCACUCACGUAGCGUUCAAGAUGUAGGCAGAAUGAGAUGUAUCAAAUGAGGAUACCUAAAAGGCUAAAAGUGUAGUACUCAAAAGAUGAGGGUACUUAAAAAUAAUUAUGGAGUAAUGUUCUAAA